AUGAGUGAUGUUUGUUACCCUGAUAGUCUUAUCGGGAAUAUUCCCAAUGUUUACUACUAUGCUGCUAAUAACCCGUCUGAAGCUACCAUAGCCAAGCGUCGUAGUUAUGCUAAUACAAUUAGCUAUCUGACUCCUCCGGCUGAAAACGCUGGGCUUUACAAGGGACUUAAGCAACUGAGUGAACUUAUCUCAUCAUACCAGUCCCUUAAAGACUCAGGUCGUGGGCAACAAAUUGUUAGCUCUAUUAUCAGCACGGCUAGACAAUGCAAUCUUGACAAGGAUGUAGAGCUUCCCGAAGAGGGAGAGGAAAUUUCAGCAAAAGAACGGGAUCUUGUUGUUGGAAAAGUAUAUUCCAAGAUCAUGGAGAUCGAGUCCCGACUGUUACCAUGUGGGCUUCAUGUUAUUGGUGAGCCUCCAUCUGCUAUGGAAGCGGUUGCUACAUUGGUGAAUAUUGCUGCAUUAGACCGACCUGAAGAUGGGAUUUCAUCACUGCCAUCUAUAUUAGCUGAGACUGUUGGAAGAAACAUAGAGGAUGUGUACAGAGGAAGUGACAAAGGCAUCUUGAAGGAUGUAGAGCUUCUCCGGCAAAUUACUGAGGCCUCACGUGGGGCAAUUUCUGCCUUUGUGCAGAAAACAACCAACAAGAAUGGUCAAGUUGUUGACGUGGCUGAUAAGUUAAGCUCGAUCCUUGGGUUUGGUAUCAACGAGCCGUGGAUUCAGUAUUUAUCGAACACAAAAUUUUACCGUGCAGAUAGGGAAAAGCUUAGAGUAUUAUUUGAGUUCCUAGGCGAGUGUUUAAAGCUGGUUGUUGCUGAUAAUGAGUUAGGCAGUCUGAAACAAGCAUUGGAGGGGAAAUAUGUUGAACCUGGGCCUGGUGGUGAUCCUAUUCGAAACCCAAAAGUGUUGCCAACAGGAAAGAACAUUCAU
rnacentral:lncRNA from 1 species